GACGACGCUGGCGGCGUGCCUAACACAUGCAAGUCGAACGGGGGUGUGAUUUCGGUUGCACCCUAGUGGCGGACGGGUGAGUAACGCGUGAGCAACCUGACUCUUUGAGGGGGAUAACACUCGGAAACGAGUGCUAAUACCGCAUAAGACCACGACCCGGCAUCGGGAUGAGGUCAAAGGAGCAAUCCGCAGAGAGAGGGGCUCGCGUCCCAUUAGAUAGAUGGCGGGGUAACGGCCCACCAUGUCGACGAUGGGUAGCCGAGCUGAGAGGCUGAUCGGCCACACUGGAACUGAGACACGGUCCAGACUCCUACGGGAGGCAGCAGUGGGGAAUAUUGGGCAAUGGGCGAAAGCCUGACCCAGCAACGCCGCGUGAGGGAAGAAGGCCUUCGGGUUGUAAACCUCUGUCCUUGGUGACGAAAAAAAUGACGGUAGCCAAGGAGGAAGCCCCGGCAAACUACGUG
rnacentral:rRNA from 1 species